CUGACCUGCACCAAGGCCGCCAGCGCGAAGAAGGCGGCCAUGAGUCCGUUGCAGGCCCGCCACAGCGCUGGCGCCAUGGCUCGGAGAACACGGCGCGGGGCGAAAAUAUGCUCUCUUAAGAACCAAGUCUGAAGCGAAGGCUGUACUUGAACUUCGGGCUGGCUGGACCACUCAGACCGAUUGAGGCCCCUAAGGUAAAAGCCUUGCUCCAAGUCCCCUUCUGACUUCUAGUCACUUCCGUGCUGCCAGCAGAGGGCGUGGGAUUCUUCCUGAGGAGCCUGAGUCUCAGCUUUGCCAGGUCCUUGCUGUGUGACCUUGGGCACCUGUGCUCCCUUGACAAAGAGGAAUAAAACCUCUUCAGACUACUCUCCUAUCGAUUCUCUCCUGGAACAUAUGACCACCAUCAAUUAUAGGCAAGAACAUGAACACGGGAGUCCCAAAGACUUGGGUUCAAAUGUCAGCCCCUUCACUCGCUGGCUGUAGGUGUGAGGCCCUGGCUCCUGUGGGGCUAUUGCAGAGGAGAAACUUCUGGAACAGAGAGCUCCUUGUCCAGGGAUGCUGCAUCUGGGUGAGCUGCUCCUUGGAUAUGGUGCAAGUGUGGCCAGGGUGUGGUGUGGAAGGAGCAGAAGUCUUCAGGACUGAAUCUGGAUGGACCACUGUGACAGCUGUAUACCCAGGUGGUACCAGUUUCCCUCUCUGCAGAAGUCCCCCCAACAGCACCAUUCUCAGUGCCAUACCUGGCCUCAUCAGGGCUCUGAUGCAAGACACUGUAUAUGCAGAAUAUAUUAUUUCAUCCUCACAACAGUUCUGUAUCUUCCACAUUUUAUAGGCUAAGGAAAUAGGCUCAGGGUAGUCAAGUAGCUUUCCCAAAGGCACACAGCAGCAGAAGGGGAUUUGAACCCAAUUUGGGCUAUCUCCAAACCCCACACUUUCGGAAUAACUGUGGAGGUAUCAGGAUGCAUCUAUUAUAUGUCAGGGGACUGCUAGAGACUCAAAGCCCUCCCCUCCUGUCCAUAGGAAAGGAGAGACCCCUUAGUACUGAUUGCUUUGGUGGGGCUCUGGCACUCCGCAGUGAUCACCUAUAGGAAAACAUGGAGUAUCAGAAUAUUGGUCUCUCAGGAACCUGGCUUUGUGGGGUGGUUUGAGGCAGUAGUUGCCCCUUCAUAUGUGCACCCAGGCCCCUGCCAGACAGGUAAUCACAUUGCCUCCUCCUUGUGGCAGAUUAUAUUUCCCAGAAAGUGCCUGCAACAAUACUUCCAGUCCCAUAUGUGCUUCUAGAGCCGGUCACUCUCUCAGUUUAAAGGUGGAGUCUAUUUCCCUUCCCCUUAAGACUGCCUCAGUGGUUAGACUAUGGCAAGAAAGAUAUCAUGUGACUUCCAAGACAAAUCCUAAAAGGCAACACAGCUUCCACCUGGCUCUUUCUAUUUUGAGCCACUUACCUAUGGAACACCAGCCACCAUGUUGGAAGGAAGCCCAGGUGACAUGGAGAAGCAUCUGUGAGUGCUCUGGCAGGCACGCCAGCUUGAAUCUCAGCCAUCAGCCAGCAUCAACCACCAGAUGCGUGAGAGAGAGCCUUCACAUGACUUCAGGCCUCAGCCUGCAAGCUGUCCCAGCUUAUGCUGAGUGAGCACAGACAACCUAUCCCUGCUGAGCCCUGUCCAGUCUGCAGAUUUCUG
rnacentral:lncRNA from 1 species